UACGUAGGGGGCAAGCGUUGUCCGGAAUCAUUGGGCGUAAAGAGCGUGUAGGCGGCCAGGUAGGUCUGGUGUGAAAACUCGAGGCUUAACCUCGAGAUGUCAUCGGAAACCAUCUGGCUAGAGUCCGGAAGAGGAAAGUGGAAUUCCUGGUGUAGCGGUGAAAUGCGCAGAUAUCAGGAAGAACACCAAUGGCGAAAGCAGCUUUCUGGGACGGUACUGACGCUGAGACGCGAAAGCGUGGGGAGCGAACAGG
rnacentral:rRNA from 1 species